rnacentral:rRNA from 1 species
AUCCGCUUUGAGAUGGCCUCGCGUCCGAUUAGCUAGUUGGUGAGGUAACGGCCCACCAAGGCAACGAUCGGUAGCCGGACUGAGAGGUUGAACGGCCACAUUGGGACUGAGACACGGCCCAGACUCCUACGGGAGGCAGCAGUGGGGAAUAUUGCACAAUGGGGGAAACCCUGAUGCAGCGACGCCGCGUGGAGGAAGAAGGUCUUCGGAUUGUAAACUCCUGUUGUUGAGGAAGAUAAUGACGGUACUCAACAAGGAAGUGACGGCUAACUACGUGCCAGCAGCCGCGGUAAAACGUAGGUCACAAGCGUUGUCCGGAAUUACUGGGUGUAAAGGGAGCGCAGGCGGGAAGACAAGUUGGAAGUGAAAUCUAUGGGCUCAACCCAUAAACUGCUUUCAAAACUGUUUUUCUUGAGUAGUGCAGAGGUAGGCGGAAUUCCCGGUGUAGCGGUGGAAUGCGUAGGUAUCGGGAGGAACACCAGUGGCGAAGGCGGCCUACUGGGCACCAACUGACGCUGAGGCUCGAAAGUGUGGGUAGCAAACAGGAUUAGAUACCCUGGUAGUCCACACCGUAAACGAUGAUUACUAGGUGUUGGAGGAUUGACCCCUUCAGUGCCGCAGUUAACACAAUAAGUAAUCCACCUGGGGAGUACGACCGCAAGGUUGAAACUCAAAGGAAUUGACGGGG